CCGAACCCGAACCAACGGCCGAACCCGAACCGCCGCCGAACCCGAACCCGCAGCCGAACCCGAACCCGUCCCCGCCGAAGAGAAAAGCGAGAUGAUGGACGAGGCAGUUGAAACAACCACCAUCUUGGGCGUGGACAGCGACGCUAUGCAUGAUAAUGACGUCAUGGUUGAGGCCAGUGACGUCAUGUCCGACCCAACGACGAUGGCGCCCGCGGAAGAGGUGGAACGGGAUGCGGCGACGGAGAGUUUUCUGGCAACCGAGGAGAAUGAAGCUUUUUAAUUCCGAAAAAAUACUCUUGCAGGACAAGACGGAAAGGGAAGGUGUUGGGAAAGGGGGGUAGGCGUAUAACUUCCAUGCACUACCUAGGCCUAUCUUGUCUCUAAAGGCCCAUCAGUCACAAUGUGGGUGGAUACUUUCUUCAGGGUGACUUGUGUUUAAGUGAUAUCAUAACAUGCAAGUUGUAAAAUAUCAUGAAAUUUCAUUUGGUAGGUAGUACAAAAUGAGGUGGUAUUGUCUGUGUGGUUAAGGGAUCGUGAGUAUAAAUGUGUUGACUUUUCUCAACCUCUUUUAACAUACAUGAUUCCCUCCAAACUUCACAUGGUGAAUACCUAAUACCUUGCUAAUGAUUUAUGAUUUUUUAUUCUUGCUACAUAGGUUGUUUUUUCACAGUAUAUGGAUAUUUCCAAGGGUCUUUUUUAUAUCUAAACUCGGAGAACACAGUACUUCAUGCAAAACGCGUUUAGUAUGAAAAUUCUGUUGACUGGUAGGAAAAAAACAACGGGAGACAAAAGGUAACAGUUGAGAGAGAGAGAGAGAGAGAGAGAGAGAGAGAGAGAGAGAGAGAGAGAGAGAGAGAGAGAGAGAGAGAGAGAGAGAGAGAGAGAGAGAGAGAGAGGAAGGAGAGAGAGGGAGAGGGAGAAGGGUGAGAGAUAAAGAGAAGGAUAGGGAGACAACAUUCUUGCAUGACAGCGUUCAUUCCAGACUGAAAUCGGCUUUUGGGUAACAACUUCCCAAUUCAUUUCUUGUUUGUACCAUUGUGCUGUUUAAACUACAUAUUUCCAUUUUUUAUAACACCUUCCUAAGUUAUGCCCCUUUAUACAGUAUUUUAAGUAUGUUAUUACCUAAGAUUUUCUAAUAAAAAAGAAAGAAAAUAAUUUCA